AACGAACGCUGGCGGCAUGCCUAACACAUGCAAGUCGAACGAAGCCUUCGGGCUUAGUGGCGCACGGGUGCGUAACGCGUGGGAAUCUGCCCUUGGGUUCGGAAUAACAGUUAGAAAUGACUGCUAAUACCGAAUGAUGUCUUCGGACCAAAGAUUUAUCGCCCAAGGAUGAGCCCGCGUCGGAUUAGCUAGUUGGUGAGGUAAAGGCUCACCAAGGCGACGAUCCGUAGCUGGUCUGAGAGGAUGAUCAGCCACACUGGGACUGAGACACGGCCCAGACCCUA
rnacentral:rRNA from 1 species